rnacentral:lncRNA from 10 species
UCAGAUUGUCUGCUUAAACCAUCAACCCCACAGCUUCCUGGUUAUACUCCCUGGUUAUACCUCGUAUAUCUGGGAGCUGCCAACCCCCACAGGGGCGCAGUGUUGAGCAGCUGCCACUGGACCAGCAGGCUCUGGUCCUGGAAGGCUUGUCCAAAAUUCAGAAUCUUGAUCCACAACUCAGAAUUACCCAGUGAAAAUCUUCGGUUUUCCACAAGGUCCUCUCCAAGUGAUUCAUCUGCACAGGAAAGUUUGAGAAGUGCUGCUCUAGCCUAAAGCUCUAAUGGAAUCCUUCAUUGUUCAUCUUCUCUGAAGGAAGCCAGCUGCAAGGUCACGAGGAGACUCAAGUGACCUCACGGGGUUGAGAUCCAUGUGGUGAGAAACUGAGCCCUCCUGCCAAUGGUCAUCAAGGAAAUGAGAUAUUUGGCCAAUAGUUAUGUGAGCAAGCCAUCUUUGAAGCAGAUUGUCUGGCCUCAAAUCAAACCUUCAGGUGACUGUGGCCUUAGCCAACAUCUUGACAACGACCUCAUGGGAGACCCUGAACAAGAAUCACUCAGCUAAGUCACUUCCAAAUUCCUGAGUUAAAUUGUGAGAUAAUCAUGGCCAGGUGUGGUGGCUCAUGCCUGUAAUCCCAGCACUUUGGGAGGCCCAGGUGGGCGGAUCACUUGAGAUCAGGAGUUCGAGACCAGCUUGACCAACAUGGCGAAACCCCGUCUCUACUAAAAAUACAAAAAAAAUUAGCCAGGUGUCAUGGCGUAUGCCUGUAAUCCCAGCUACUUAGGAGGCUGAGGCAGGAGAAUCGCUUGAACCAAGAAGUGGAGGUUGUGGUGAGCCGAGAUCACACCACUGCACUCCAGCUUGGGUAACAGAGCAAGACUCCGUUUUGGAAAAAAAAAAAAAAAGGAAUUGUGAGAUAAUUAGCUGGGCACGGUGGCUUACGACUGUAAUCCCAGCACUUUGGGAGGCUGAGGCGAGGUGAGUGGAUCACUUCAGGUCAGGAGUUCAAGACCAGCCUGGCCAACAUGGUGAAACCCUGUCUCUACAAAAAUACAAAAAAAUUUAGCUGGGUGUUGUGGUCCAUGCCUGUAGUCCCAGCUACUCAGGAGGCUGAGGCAGGAGAAUUGCUUGAACCCGGGAAUUGGAGGUUGCAGUGAGCUGAGAUCGCACCACUGCACUCCAGCCUGGGUGACAGAGCAAAACUCUGUCUAAAAAAAAAAAAAAAAUUGUGAGAUAAUCAAUGUCUGCUUUUAAAGCUGCUAAGUUUUCAGGUAAUUUGUUACACUGUGAUAAGUAACUAAUACAGAUUUUGUUACCUAGAAGUGGGGGCACUGCCAUAACAAAACCCUAAAAUGUGAAAGUGGCUUUGGAAUUGGGCAGCCUUGGAGGAAAGUGUUAGUGAAAAGUCUGAAUACCUUGAAGAAGCCUCAGGGCCCUUGAGGAGGUUGUAAGUGAGAGCAUAAAGAGGAAAGUGAGGAAAAUCUUGUUGUCAAUUGGAGGAAAGGGGUCAUUAUUAUAUAGCAGCAAAAAGUUUAGCAACACUGUUACCUGGGGUAAUGUAGAAAGUAAAAAUAUACCAGAUGAACCACAUGAUCUAGCAAAAAGCUUUCCAGGAAACCUGUUGAAAGCAUCUCCUGGUUUCUUCUUAUUGUUCAUAGGAAAAUGCAAGAGGAGAUAGAUAAGCCAAGAACUAUUAAACAUGAAGGACACGAAGGAACCAGAAUUUGAGGGUUUUGAAAAUUUUCAGCCUCUCUAACUGGCUAAAUGUAAAAGAUAGAUUAGGUUUUGGGGGUUUUGUUUUUGUUUUUGUUUUUUUAGAGACAGGGUGUCGCUCUGAGGUCCAGGCUGGAGUGCAGUGGAAUGAUCAUAGCUCACUGUAGCCUCAAACUCCUGGGCUGAAGCAAUCCUCCUGCCUUGGCUUCCUGAAGCUCUGGGGUUAUAGGCAUGAGCCAUCAUGCCUGGCCAAGAAGUGAAUUCUGAGCAAAGAUCAAAUCUAGGGCACUACUGGGAAAACAUGGUCUAAAGACAAAGUAAAAUUCUUUGUCAUAAUGAUCCAAGGUACAGCCUCAGAGUACCAUUCAGUAAGACAAAUGGCCCUCUAAAGAUUUUAAGGGUAUGCUUUAUAGAUACUCUCCUUUAAACAGUGGGGCUUUUCAAAAGCUAAACAGCAUUGCACCUCAGCAGAUGCCCAAUAUUGAGAAGGGCUUAUUGCAAAAAGGUUUAUGGCUGCGAUCUCAGACUUACGGAAUGAACCACAGUAAGAUUCACAGAAGACCCACAACAUUUAAGAAUCAUAUUGGCAGAAACAGCUUGGAAUGAAAGGGACAAAGAUAGUACAUGAAUGAAGAGACUUUUGAAUUCCCAAAAUUUCACCUGCUGUAAUCAGACUGAGAAAACUCUACAGCUGAAAAACAUGAGUUAUCUCUCAUGGAAAAGGAAGGAUGACUUAGCAGAACCAAGAGCUCCAAGGUAGGGGCCAAAAGUCAUGGGAUGAAUCCCAUUCAUUCAGUAGGAAUGAAUCCUAAUAAAAGAAUCUCCAAACUUUGCCUAGCUGGGUCUCAGAACCACUAUGGACCAGUCCUAUUUUUCCCCUUUUUGCACAGGACUGUUUACAGUGUUUAUCGUAUGCCCAUCCCACCACUGUGUGGUGUGUGUGGGUGUGUGGGUGUGUAUGUUGGGGAAGAUAAUUUAUCUCCAGUUCACAGGUGUUCAGAUUGCAAGAAGCUGUCUUUAAGGAAAUACACCUGAAAAGCAUUGUCUGCACCUGGACCUGAUUUAUAUACUGUGACUCUGGAUUUUGAACUGAUACUGAAAUAAGAAGAGACUUUUGGGGCCCUUAGGAAAGGGGUGAAUAUAUUUUGUGUAGGGAAUUGCAAAUAAGUGAUUUGUGGCCUGAUGGUGGCUUAAAAAUAUAUCCACAAAUUCCUUGAUACUCUUCCAAGUAUCUUCUUCAAGAUGUAGAGCUUAAUUUCUCCCCAUUAGAGAGAAAUUUGGAUUUAGUGACCUUUCUAACAAAUAGAAUAUGGCAGAUGUGACAGUGUGUCACUUUCCAAGUGAGGUCAUACAAAGCAUUGCACCUUUCUUCUUGCUGUCUCUGUUGGGUCAUUAAAGCCAGAUGCCAUGAUGUGAGGACACUCAAGCAGCCCCAUGGAGAGAGCUGAGGCUUUUUGGCAACAAAUGUCUGAGUUUGAUAACUUUCAUUUAAGCCUAUGACUUUUUUUUUUUUUGAGACGGCGUUUCGCUCUUGUUGCUCAUGCUGGAGUGCAAUGGCGUGAUCUCGGCUCACUGCAACUUCCACCUCCCAGGUUCAAGCGAUUCUCCUGCUUCAGCCUCCCAAGUAGCUGGGAUUACAGGCAUGUGCCACCACGCCUAGCUAAUUUUGUAUUUUUAGUAGAGAAGGGGUUUCUCCAUGUUAGUCAGGCUGAUCUUGAACUCUCAACCUCAGGUGAUCCACCCACCUCAGCUUCCCAAAGUGCUGGGAUUACAGGCAUAAGCCACCAUGCCCGACCCUCCUAUGAUGCAUUUUGAGUUAAUUUUUGUAUAUUCUGUAAGUUAAGAGGUAAGUUUUUUUCUUUUAGUUUUUAAAAAAUACACUGCUAUUCAAUUGUUCAAGCACUCUUUGUUGAAAAGAUUAUUCAUUCCCCAUUUUAUUGUCUUGGGACCUUUGUCAAAUAUCAAUUGAUGGCUGGGUGCGGUGGCUCACACCUGUAAUCUCAGCACUUUGGGAGGCUGAGGCGAAAAGAGGCUGAGGUGAAAAGAGGCCGAGGCGAAAGGAUCCUUUGAUCUCAGGAGUUUGAGACCAGCCUGGGCAACAUGGUGAAACCCUGUCUGUACCAAAAGUACAAAAAAUUAGUGGGGCAUGGUGGUGGGUACCUGCGUCCCAGCUACUCAGGAGGCUGAGGUGGGAGGUUCGCUUGAGCCGGGGAGGUGGAGUUUGCAGUGAGCCGAGAUCACCCCACUGUACUCUGCCCUGGGUGACAGAGUGAGACCCCAUCUUAAAAAAAUAAAAAUAAAAAAUAAAAAAAAUCAAUUGACUAUGUAUGUGUGAGUCUAUUUCUGGACUCUCUUUUUGUUCCAUUGAUCUAAAUGUUUAUUUUUAAGCCAAAACAACAUUGUCUUAGUUUCUGUAGAUUUAUAUUGGUAAUCAAAUUAGGUAGUAUUAUUUCUCCAACUUUAUUUUUUAUUUUAAAAAUUAUUUGGCCUUUUAAAAAAUCUCCACACACAUUUUAGAAUCAGCUUGUCUAUUUUUACAAGAAAACUUGCUGAGAUUUUGAUUGGAAUGGCAUUGCAUGACUAAAUCAAUGAGUGGAGGAAUUGACAUGCAACAAUAUUGAGUCUGGCAAUCCAUGCAAAUAGCACAUCUUUCUAUUUACUUGAAUCUUCUUUAAUUUGACAUCUUUUUCCAAAUUUAUCCCUAAGUGUUCAAUAUUUUUAUGCUACUAUAAAUGGCGUUUUAGAUAAUUUCCAGAUAUCUUUCGUUCUUGAUUUCUAAAUUAAUUCUGUUGCUAUUAGAGAACAUUGUAUAAUCUCAAUCUUUUAU